UUGAACGCUGGCGGCAUGCCUUACACAUGCCAGUCGAACGGCAGCACGGGUGCUUGCACCUGGUGGCGAGUGGCGAACGGGUGAGUAAUACAUCGGAACAUGUCCUGUAGUGGGGGAUAGCCCGGCGAAAGCCGGAUUAAUACCGCAUACGAUCUACGGAUGAAAGCGGGGGACCUUCGGGCCUCGCGCUAUAGGGUUGGCCGAUGGCUGAUUAGCUAGUUGGUGGGGUAAAGGCCUACCAAGGCGACGAUCAGUAGCUGGUCUGAGAGGACGACCAGCCACACUGGGACUGAGACACGGCCCAGACUCCUACGGGAGGCAGCAGUGGGGAAUUUUGGACAAUGGGCGAAAGCCUGAUCCAGCAAUGCCGCGUGUGUGAAGAAGGCCUUCGGGUUGUAAAGCACUUUUGUCCGGAAAGAAAUCCUUGGCCCUAAUACGGUCGGGGAAUGACGGUACCGGAAGAAUAAGCACCGGCUAACUACGUG
rnacentral:rRNA from 1 species